AUUAAACGCUGGCGGCAUGCCUUACACAUGCAAGUCGAACGGUAACAGGCCUUCGGGCGCUGACGAGUGGCGGACGGGUGAGUAACGCGUAGGAAUCUGCCUCAUAGUGGGGGACAACGUGGGGAAACUCACGCUAAUACCGCAUACGCCCUACGGGGAAAGCGGGGAUCUUCGGACCUCGCGCUAUGAGAUGAGCCUGCGUUAGAUUAGCUAGUUGGUAGGGUAAAGGCCUACCAAGGCGACGAUCUAUAGCUGGUCUGAGAGGACGAUCAGCCACACUGGGACUGAGACACGGCCCAGACUCCUACGGGAGGCAGCAGUGGGGAAUAUUGGACAAUGGGCGCAAGCCUGAUCCAGCAAUACCGCGUGUGUGAAGAAGGCCUUAGGGUUGUAAAGCACUUUCAAUUGGGAGGAAAACCUGCCGGUCAAUACCCGGCAGCUUGACAUUACCUUUAGAAGAAGCACCGGCUAACUCCGUGCCAGCAGCCGCGGU
rnacentral:rRNA from 1 species